rnacentral:lncRNA from 1 species
UUUUGGUUCAAAGAUAAGUUCUUUAAAAACACCGUAACCGGCAGCAGCCGCAAUUCCAAGGCCCGCCAGGAUAACAACGCUAUAUGAAGCUCCUUCUGUGAAUGUCAUUGGCUUCUCGGGUAUAUUAUCGUGACGCUUUCGAUGCAAACGAUCUCACUUCAAACGAACCAACAUUACCACCUGCAUUGAUCGAAUUAACCUGAAAUCUCGACAGUGUAGAGCCUAAAGAUCCUAAAUUUCCGGUUUUUCUUCUGUUUCCAACCGUCGCACCGGUUGCGAACCGGUGAACGCCGGUGGAAGUUAACGGCGACCGGAAAGAUGGAGCGGAGGACAAAGAUCUACUACAUAAAGCACGUAAUUUGUAUAAAGAACGUGAAGAAGAUCGGAUCAUGUUGUUGAAU